AUGGCCGUCCUUGACCCUGAGAGUGACAAGUUAUUCAAUGAAGCUUUAGCUGCCCAUGACCAUAUGGGAAUCGGCACAAUAUUGCGGGAAUGCCAUGGCUUAUUCAAUGGCUUGCAGUCGCUGACCGACUGUUGUGGUGGUGAUGGAACAACAGCUAGGGCCAUUGUUAAGGCCUUCCCUCACAUAAAGUGCAACGUUUUGGACCUUCCAAGGGUGAUCAAUAAAGCUCCAAGCGAUGGCCUCGUUAACUAUAUCGCUGGUGACAUGUUCCAUUCCAUCCCACCUGCUCAAGCUGUAAUGCUCAAGCUUGUUCUACACUUCUGGAGCGACAAGGACUGCAUCAAUAUCCUAACUCAAUGCAAGAAGGCCAUUCCUUCUCGAGAAGUGGGAGGAAAAGUUAUUAUCAUGGACAUUGUGGUUGACUCUUCUUCAGGACCGUUAUUCGAAACCCAAAUGCUGAUGGAUAUGGUAAUGAUGGUAUGUACCAGGGGACGACAACGUGAUGAAAAUGAUUGGAGUGCCAUCUUUAUGGAGGCAGGGUUUAGCGACUACAAAAUUGUCAAGAAGCUUGGAGCUCGAGGUGUCAUCGAGGUCUAUCCAUAA
rnacentral:rRNA from 1 species